GCUGCCGUCGCCACCUGGACGCGGCCGCCGGCCGGUGCCCCGGGUGGUGGUGGUACGUCAGCGACCGCGCCAGCUGGAACGGCCUCUUGCCGCCGCCGCCUCAAUCAUCCAUCUCACGCGCCGACGCAGCAGCAGCGGCCGGCCGCGCCGCCGCGGGAGAAGGCGAAUCGAGGCUGUGGCGGUUAACCGGAGGCGAGGAGAAGGGGGAGAAGGAAGACGAAGAGGAAGCGAGCUGGGCAAGCAAUCGACGCAAGAAGAUCAGAAGGUGGGGGCACCAGAGCCGCACUUUAUAUGAUUUCUUGUGGUGGUGGAGAUUUUGACGACUUUCUUGAUGCGUUUUUUC
rnacentral:misc_RNA from 1 species